AACGAACGCUGGCGGCGCGCCUAACACAUGCAAGUCGAACGAGAAUCCGGGGCAACCCGGUAGUAAAGUGGCAAACGGGUGAGGAAUACAUGGGUAACCUACCCUUGAGAAGGGAAUAACCCGCCGAAAGGUGAGCUAAUACCCUAUACGCUAUCUUUUUUUCGAAAAGGAUAGGAAAGCCGGGUCGAGGACCUGGUACUCAAGGAGGGGCUCAUGUCCUAUCAGCUUGUUGGUAGGGGUAACCGGCCUACCAAGGGCUACGACGGGUAGCUGGUCUGAGAGGAUGAUCAGCCACACUGGCACUGAGAUACGGGCCAGACUCCUACGGGAGGCAGCAGUGAGGAAUAUUGCGCAAUGGGC
rnacentral:rRNA from 1 species